AAACGUGCAGUUUAACUUGUAGAAGUUUUCAGAACAAAGUGAGAAAUUAGAAAUUGGGGAUUUUGGGAGAAAUUAGAAACUAACCCUAAGUUCGAAGACGAGAAUAGGUGUGCCUGAGGAGAGCGAGGUUGGUGUUAGUGGAGCUUGUGGAGGUUGUUUUUGUGCGAUGAUGUUGAGGACGAUUUAAAACCCUAAAUUGUUCUUUUGCAGUUUGGUGCAAAACGCGAAUUUGUUGGAAAACGAUGUGGAAGGACCAUUCUUCUUGUUCGUCGAGCUGCAAUGUAUGGCGGAAGGAGAAUCCUAAUCUGUGUUCACCCAUUUGCCACUAUGGAGAGAGAUGUGCCUUGAGAACUGCUAAAACUAUCAAGAGAGAUGGGCUAUCAGUGGCUUAUAAGUCCUGUGUAGUGUUUGAUCAUAUGUAGACUGUAUUUUGUUAGUCAAAUUUGGAGUGCAGUGUAUUGUUUGAUCAUAUAUAAACUAUAUUUUGUUAUUGAAUUUUGGACAACUGUAUUUUGUAAGAAUACUUUUAAUGAUUAAUGAAUUUGGAGUGUUGACUAUAAUUGUAUUCUGGUUUGAUCAUGAGUGAUAGAAAUCUAUUUCCAACACUGAAAUUGGUUGGUUUAAUACAUGUAUUUUACUGCAUAAACUGCUAUAACAUGGG
rnacentral:lncRNA from 1 species